rnacentral:rRNA from 1 species
AAGCGUUAAAUCGGAAUUACUCGGGCGUAAAGCGGGCGUAGGUGGUUUGUUUAAGUUGGAUGUCGAAAUCCCCCGGGCUCCAACCCUGGGAACUGCAUCCAAAAACUGGCAAGCUAGAGUAUUGGUAGAGGGUGGUGGAAUUUCCUGUGUAGCGGUGAAAUGCGUAGAUAUAGGAAAGGAACACCAGUGGCGAAGGCGACCACCUGGACUGAUACUGACACUGAGGUGCGAAAGCGUGGGGAGCAAACAGGGAUUAGAUACCCUGGUAGUCCACGCCGUAAACGAUGUCAACUAGCCGUUUGGGAGCCUUGAGCUCUUAGUGGCGCAGCUAACGCAUUAAGUUGACCGCCUGGGGAGUACGGCCGCAAGGUUAAAACUCAAAUGAAUUGACGGGGGCCCGCACAAGCGGUGGAGCAUGUGGUUUAAUUUGAAGCAACGCGAAGAACCUUACCAGGCCUUGACAUCCAAUGAACUUUCCAGAGAUGGAUUGGUGCCUUCGGGAACAUUGAGACAGGUGCUGCAUGGCUGUCGUCAGCUCGUGUCGUGAGAUGUUGGGUUAAGUCCCGUAACGAGCGCAACCCUUGUCCUUAGUUACCAGCACGUAAUGGUGGGCACUCUAAGGAGACUGCCGGUGACAAACCGGAGGAAGGUGGGGAUGACGUCAAGUCAUCAUGGCCCUUACGGCCUGGGCUACACACGUGCUACAAUGGUCGGUACAAAGGGUUGCCAAGCCGCGAGGUGGAGCUAAUCCCAUAAAACCGAUCGUAGUCCGGAUCGCAGUCUGCAACUCGACUGCGUGAAGUCGGAAUCGCUAGUAAUCGCGAAUCAGAAUGUCGCGGUGAAUACGUUCCCGGGCCUUGUACACACCGCCCGUCACAGCCAUGGGAGUGGGUUGCACCAGAAGUAGCUAGUCUAACCUUCUGGGAGGACGGU